CUCAGAUCCAGGACUCUUUACACAUAGUUCUGGAUGAUUCAUAUGUGCUUAAUGCGUAAUAGAAACCCUGUGGUUAUAGGUGGAACAAACUCACCCUCCUACAAUAAUAGCUACAGGUGAGGUUACAGGUGUAUUUGUGUAUAUAUAGAGAAAAGUCUAAGAGUAUUUGCCAGUCGGUUAACAGUGGUUACUUCUAGCAGAUAGGAUUAGAGAGGGCUUUAUCUUUCUGCUUUGGGUAUUUCCCUCUUAAUUAGCACUUUAAAGAACUUUGUUUUUGAGAUAAGGUCUUGCUCCGUUGCCCAGGCUGGAGUGCAGUGGUAUGAUCAUAGCUCACUGCAGCCUUGAACUCCUAAGCUGAAGUGAUCCUCCCGCCUCAGCCUCCCAAGUAGCUGGGACUUACAGAUGAAAUGAAGACUCUUAGAGAUGAAAUUGCCUGAAACUACAUGGCUGGCAAAGUGCAGACUUUAGAUUACAACCCAGGGUAGUUGGACACUGGAGAUGUGACGUCUCCCACCAUGCCACGGCCAGAUCACAGACCACUAGUUAAGGACCCCUGAUCUGGGUCAGUGAAGAGCAGAAGGCCCUGAAAUCUGGCAAGACCCGUUUCCUGCGAAGCCACUAGAUCGUUUCAACUAAGUAUAUUUCAUUUCCUUCCUGGUCUGUCAGCAGAGAGAGAGGUGAAGCAGGAAGCUGAGCUGUUGGCACCUCCAGCUUAGCCCUCUGUGCUAAUGAGUUAAUUCUAAUUAGCAGCAGCAGGAACAGUUUAAUGGUGUUCCGAUCCUGACUGCACCAUCAUCAAAAAAAAAUUGAUUUUUGCAGGUGUAUGCAUUUUAAUGAAUGGGAAAAACAAGCAUUGUCCUCAAAGCUAAGAAAGGGAUAUUUCUCACUGAGUCGAAAGAGCUUACACCAGCUGUGCUGCGGGCGGGCAAGAAAGGUUAAUGGUUUCCAAGGGCUCUCAGUGUCCUUUGGUUCCCGAUUCUAAGAUCUAUGUGUACAUAGACGGUACCUUCAGAUAUCUUCAGAAAAAUCUCUCUGCUUCUUUGUAUCAGCUCCUUCUGUGUUGCCCACUGUGUUCUUCCUGGCAUCUCAGCCUUGCCUGUAGAGCAUGAAGAGCACCGAAGAGGUGAGUUAAAGUUAACUAACUCAGAAAAGCUCUUAGGAAAGCCCAUCAACACAAAGGAAUCGAUUCAGGCUGCAGAAAGCAAAGGAGACAGACCUGGUGGGGUAAGCCAAUUCAGGAGAGGGACCAUAGGCUGGGUGCAGUGGCUCAUGCCUGUAAUCCCAGCACUUUGGGAGGCCGAGGUGGGUGGAUGGCUUGAGGUCAGGAGUUGUAGACCAGCCUGGCCAACAUGGCGAAAACCUGUCUCUACUAAAAAACACAAAAAUUAGCCGGGCAUGGUGGCUAUUUGGAAGGCUGAGGCAUGAGAAUUGGUUGAAUUCAAAAGGUGGAGGUUGCAGUGAGCCGAGAUCGCACCAUUGCGUUCCAGCCUGGGCAACAGAGUGAGACUCCAUCUCAAAAAAAAAAAAAAAAAAAAAAAAAAAAAAAAAAGGACAGGCACCAUAAACUCCUUUAAAACCAAAAGAAUAAGAUAGCCUCAUUCAAGAGAAGGAGCAAUGAAAUAAACACCGAACCAGAGAAAACUCCAGUAGACUGUGGACAGUCGGCUAUCCCCUAAGGGUAACACUGCCAGAGAGGAGAGUUAAAUCAGAACAGGUUUUGGAAAAAUUGUGUUGCAUUUUGUUUCCAUGUGGAAGCACUGACAGAAGUGAAAAGGCAGCAUGCUCCAUUUACUUUUGUGAAAAAUCACAUGGCUAGAUUUAAGGGAGGAGACCAUCCCUCAUAUUGUCUUAUGCCCAAUUUCUGCCUCCAAAGAAAGAAGUAAAAACUAAAAGGCAGAAAUGAAAUCGACAAGCAGACAGCCCGGCGCCACACCCUGGGCCUGGUAGUUAAAGAUCAAGCCCUGACCUAGUCGAUUAUUUGCAUAAAAAAAGCACUGUGAAGAUCCCUGUCCUGUUGUGUUCGGUUCUAAUUACCGGCGUAUGCAGCCCCCAGUCAUGUACCCGGUGCUUGCUCAAUCGAUCACGACCCUCUCACGCGGACCUCCUUAAGAGUUGUGAGCCUUUAAAAGGGACAGAAAUUGCUCACUUGGGGAGCUUGGUUUUUGGAGAUGUGAGUCUUGCUGAAUGAAGCUCCUGGCCGAAUAAAGCCCUUUCUUCUUUAACUCAGUGUCUGAGGGGUUUUGUCUGCGGCUUGUCCUGCUACAGAUUAACUUUCUCCCUACCCAGGGCAGGAUUGAAUAAACCUUACCUCCUACCUCCACCCAAAGCAAAAGCUACAAAAGGGGGUUUGUGGCAACAGCUUAAAAAACAAAUCAAGGUAUGAGAAUUCCCAGAUGGUCAAUCAUUGUAUUUGUUAUUUUUGCAUUUGGAGGGCACUCCCUACCUCUGUCACCUCUCCCCACCAUCACCACCUCCUUCAAACAAGAGUCACACAGAAGAUACCUCUCAAAUGCAAAAUCUAUUCUGUCUCAGUGCCACAGGCUUAGGUCUAUCUGUGGAUUCCAGCUAAUGGGAUGGCCAUAUGUCAACUUAGAAAGGGUGGGGGCUGUGAUGUGACCCCAGCAUCAUGGUCAGCUCCAUGCCAGUACAACAGUCUUCCAAGUUAAAAUGUAGAUAAGACACAGGUACAUGUACAUUUAUGGAGGUUAAAUAACAGAAAGUGAAUCCACUUUAAAGGUUUAUAAAAUGAGAUAGGGAUGAUGGUAGGGCUGCAUGUGUUGGGCACUGGUGCCUGUUGCAGUCAUAAUUAACACUGCUUAACUGACAUCUUGCUGAGGAAGAGAGGGCGAUGGAGUGGUAAGAAAGAAAGUAGACAUAAGAAAGCAAAAUGAAGGCCGGGCAUGGUGGCUCAUGCCUGUAAUCCCAGCACUUUGGGAGGCUGAGGCGGGCAGAUCACAAGGUCAGGAGUUCGAGACCAGCCUGACCAACAUGGUGAAACCCCGUCUCUACUAGAAAUACAAAAAUUAGAUGGGCUAAUAAAUGUCUUCUUUUGAGAAGUGUCUGUUCAUAUCCUUCGCCCACUUUUUGAUGGGGUUGUUA
rnacentral:lncRNA from 1 species